rnacentral:lncRNA from 1 species
AGCCACCAGAGCUGAGGUGUGCAGAAGCAUAGUGGAAAGGUUCCAAAUGUUCUGUGCUGAGAAAAUUUACACCCUGAUGGCAGGAAUGUGGUAUUUUGCAUCCAAGGCUGUCAUGGCUGGAGAAAUGAGAGUUGGCUGGAGCAGGCCAGAUUGUCAACCUGAUCAGGAACUUGGCUCAGGUCCUAUUCACCCUUUCAGCCUCUGCUGAUUUGCUUCCUCACCUGGGAAGACUUCCUGGCUAACCACUAGAAGAGCUUCUUCAGUGCCAGCUCUCCCAGCCACCGCCACGAGGUGCACUCCAGAAGCCUGCAGCAGCUGGGGAUCUGAUGCCAGGGCCUGCAGAGUUCAGAUCACAACCUUGCUGCCCCAUGGGCCUGUGGGGUGGGGGGCAGGGGAGUGCAGGAAGCCUCUUUGGGGACACCUGGCUGACUGGCCCACAGCUGGGUGUCAGCAAGAGUGGACGCCGCAGAGCCAGGCAUGCAUGACUCGGAGGAAGUGCUGGAUUUCUGCUCCAGGCUGCCUUGGCAAAGAGGUGGUCAUGGCCCAGGAGCUACAACCUGAAGUCUCUGGGCACACAGCAGCUUCAGGAGGCCCAGGAGCAGGAGCUGCAGUGAUGCCAGGGAGCAGAAAUGGCUGCAGCCCAACUCACAGCAGCUGCAGCAUCUCAAGCACCUGGAAUCCUUGUGAGUCCUGGGAUCACACAGUAAGGAUUAAGGGUGGGAGCUACAGAAAAGCCAGUUCUGGCUCAACAACAAGAAGAAUUAGGACCAGGUCAUAUAUUCUUGCUGGUCAGCAUGGCCUGACUCAGGAGGCACUGUGCUCCCCCAGCUGCUUGGGCUUGAAGAGAAACCAGGCAUGUCUCCAACCUUCUCUUGAUUGCUGAGACAAUCAUAGCACUUAAAGACAUCGGAGAGAUUAUAACCUCCUUUGCACAUGAGGAAAUGAAGGCAAAUGAAGGUUUGGUGAUUAAGUAACCUGAUCAAAGAUAGAUGGAAUUGCAGUAAACGUUGAAGCACAUGUAUCUUUUCGAGUCAUGGUUUUCUCUGGAUGUUUGCUGAGGAGUGGGAUUGCUGGAUCAAAUGGGCUGCCCUCAGAGUAUUUGGAAUUUCUAGGCCUGGGGUUGAAUUAGAGCUACAGCUGCCGGCCUACACCACAGCCACAGCAACAUGGGAUUCAAGCUGUGUCUGCAACAUACACCACAGCUCAUAGCAAUGCCAAAUCCCCAACCCAUUGAGCAAGGCCAUGGAUUGAGCCCACAUCCUCAUGGAUGCUAGUCAGAUUUGUUUGUGCUGCACCACAACAGGAACCCUGGGGCUCUUUGAUUUUCAAUUUUUCAGGCUUUAGAAAGGUCACUAACUGGUAGCAGAGGUCACAGCAAAAAGGAAAAGUAGAGCAUUGCUAUAAGAAAACCUCCCCUUAGGCUACUGAGUAUCGUUUCAACCAGUGCUUUUCAAACCUUAAAGUGCACAUGAGUCACUUGAGGAUGUUAUUUGGGUUGGGGUUGAGAUUCACAUUUCUCACAAACUCGUGGGUGAUCCUGACCUGCUGCUCCCUGGGCUUACACAUUGGGUAGUAAGGAGUUAAACUAUGUAGGAAAGAAGGGCUUGCAGAAGCUCAUGAUGUAGUGGUUGACUAAGGAGAAAUUGAUAGAGCAGGAGAAACUAAAUGUUGCCUGUGUCAUUUUGUUAAUAGGGAUAGAUAUUCAGUUUUAUGAUAAGAAGUCUGUAAGAAAUUAGUGCUUGAUGUAGAACAAUUCCAUUUACACAAAGUGUUGGAGUGUUAGUUUUUCAUACUGGAGGUUUUUUCUCCUUUAUUCUAGCAAGCUGAAAAAACUUGUUCAUCAACACGUUAUUUUAUUUUAUUUACUGUACUUUUUCUGCUCCCUUUACUCAGGUAUUUAAUAUGUUCUCUAGGCAGGGCCUAUUAGGUUCUCUCUUCUGCGUUUGCAAGAUGAAGGGAGACCUCUUUGGAUGUUGGGCAGAUCUUCCCUUCCUGUUUACUUUCCUUCAGACUCCUUUUGGAACUGGCUGAUGCAGAUGGUGGAAAGGAUUACUUUCUUGUUGGCUCUCCUGUUUAUUGAUUUUUGUUCUGGGCUAUGUCUCUAUAGCCAAGGCUCGUAUCCUCAUAUCCCCAAGUCUUUAUCCUUUUUGAUGUGUCAGUGGCAUUUCAUAUAGCUUGUCGCUCUGUUUCUCGAUACCCCCUUUUCACUUCCUCCCAGAUAGCUCCCUCCUGGUUUUCCUUUGAUCUCACUGGAUGCCCCUAUUUGGUUUUCUGGCAGACUCCUCUCUUUCUUUGUGUUCUCUGACCCAAGAGAAUGAUGUAUCUUCACCAUAGUAGUCCAAUGGCACAGCAUAAUACAAUUUUCCCAUGCAUCUGGAGUACAAAAUGAGACACUAUGGUAUUUAUUAAGUACUUUUACUUCCCUCUUGAGUUAAAAAAAACAAUAAAAGUGUAAUAGACAUGUUUAUUACAUUUUUGA